rnacentral:misc_RNA from 1 species
GAUGAAGAACGUAGCGAAAUGCGAUAACUAAUGUGAAUUGCAGAAUUCCGUGAAUCAUCGAGUCUUUGAACGCACAUUGCGCCCCCUGGUAUUCCGGGGGGCAUGCCUGUCCGAGCGUCAUUGCAACCCUCAAGCACGGCUUGUCUAAUGGGCGGUUCGUCUGCGGCCAUCCGCCGGAGACGCCCCCGAAAUGUAGUGGGGAUGUUCGCUAAAUCGCAGCGUCAGGAAUGGAAAUAAACAAUGCUGACGGCUCGAUGUCGAACGUCCACCUAAGGCGUGCCGCCCCCCGGGGUGUGCCGCCCAACCUCUCUCGGUUGACCUCGGAUCAGGUAGGGAUACCCGCUGAACUUAAGCAUAUCAAUAAGCGGAGGA